GUGGGAGCGGGCUUGCUCGCGAAUGCGGUGUAUCAGUCGACUUCAAUUUUGACUGAUACACCGCAUUCGCGAGCAAGCCCGCUCCCAC
rnacentral:antisense_RNA from 2 species